rnacentral:lncRNA from 1 species
UCUGUAAGCUUUAGCUAGUUUCAUUUAAUCCUAUUAUAUGUGACGAUUGAACUUCAAUCAAAUAAACACAUAAAAGAAGUUUAAAGCUUUCUUAUUCCUCACCUACGGGUAAGUUACUCUCCUUCCAUUGUAGACCUAAGAUAUUUCUAACAGUAUUUAUUUAAAAUUUUUAAUUAUGAUCAGCUUCUAGAAUGGUCUACCUCUUUUUGCCCGCUAAAGUGCAGCAAGCCAACUUCAUUAUUAUAACCUUAUGCAGCAAAGAACAAACAAUUUACUACAUAGUUUCAUUUCCCAAGAAAGCUCAAACAUCUCAGGUAGAUAUCUUGAAGUUAAAAGUUCACUAAUUACAAGAAAAUUCAUGUCCAAACUAAACGAUCCGUAAUCCACUACUGAUGUAUCAAUCUUUCAAGUUGAAGUUAUUUUCAUUCAAAAGGAUGAUACACCAUCUUCAAGAUUACUCAAGAUAAUGUCUUUCUUUGCAUGAUAAAGAUCUAUAAAGUACGAUUAAUGACUUCAAGCAUAUAACAGUACCAUCAGAGUUGAGCAAACAGAAGAACCCACUAAACGUUCUACCAACACAAAUAACAAAUAACCAUGAUAGGCAUAUAUUUUGUUGAACUUAGCUCUCAAAUGAAAGUUCCCCGUUUCUGGUUUAACCAGAGUAUACAUACAUGAAAGAGAAAGAAACUCUACAAAAAGUUGCUUUUUUAUUAUUAAAUAUAUAAACAUAUACCAUGAACCACUUUAAGCACAAUUGUGACAGAAAUAUCAUGGUCAAAUUUGCCAAAAAUAGUUCAAAGCAUGUCAAACAAUGAUCAGCAGCAAGCAUCAGAAAACUAAAUUCCAAGAAGAGAUAUUACAAUUAGUGAGAUGAGACAUCUCAUGAUGCUCAAGAAAUGUGCCCUGCUUGCUGCACCAUAGUGAUUCUGGGCCACAGACACUAGUGUUAAUAUUUUUAAUCUAAAUGACAGUAUAAAAGGCAACACUAAGUAAAACAGCUUAAGUUGUCUAGAAUUUAUUCACAAACAUCAAAUUGCAAUAACAAUAUCUAGGCUUUGUUGAUUUAGCAUUCUUUAAAAGAUUGUAGGACUCAUCACUGGGGCUGCCAAUUUUAAGACAAACAUAAAGAAGACAGUUUCAUAUGCAUCAGGAAGUAAUAGAAACCAAGAUAUUGAUACUACAUGCUUGGCAAAAUAAAACACACAAAAUUGAACUCUUUAAACUGUUCAAAGAAUUGACCAAAUCCAGACCAUAAAACAUUAAUGGAUGUUUUAACUGUUUAUAACUAAAUGCCCUUCAAGCUUUUAGUAAAGGAAGUUAAUAGGACGAGUGUCACCAUCGGAACUGUUCUCCUCAUUUUUCACCAGUAUCUGGUGAUACCAUAAAUAAUGCCAAUCAAACAGUACUUUUUUACUUUUUUCUUUCUUUCCAGCACAACUGGUACAAAAGAGGCUAAUGAUAAUUCCCCAGCACAUUCUCAGACAACUAUGAUCAUUAAAAUUUGUCUCAACUCAUCAACUCGAUUUUACACUCUUGUUAUGCCAACAAGAACACAGUUUCUACUGUUACCUAUAUCUUUCAAAGAAGUAACAAGUUCAACAUCUAGCUUUGUUCGGAUCAGACUAUUAAGGCUUAAUUGACAAAACUUCGCCUAAGGUUUCAAAACAGUACAAGCAAAAUAAUCAAGAAACAGAAGAGCAAUCGAAGAGCAACAAAAACACUGAACCCGUGGUCCAGAAGCGACACACGACCAAGGGACAAAGAAUGCCAGUUUUCGGGCACCAAAUUAUCGGGAAACGGAAGAUCUAAAACCCUAGUCCACGUAUCAAGAAGAACCUAAAUCUGGAGACAGGAAAGCAAACGAAAUGCUUGAUUCAUAAAAAGUAGAUCGAAUAUAACAACAGAUCUGGCAGGAACAAGCAAUUAAGGAGAAAGGGGAACACUAUAAGAGAGAGAUAGAGAGUGGGAGGGUCACUACUCCUGGUAAGCGGAGAGAAGGAAAACAGAGGCGAAGAGCACUCUUCCGGCAAACGACACGAACCCCAUCCCUCUCCGCGCGACAGAAGCGCCUCCGAUCAGACGAUUCUUGGUGCCUUGGUGGCUCAGGAGAGGAUGGGACGAACCCUCCAAAUCCCAAACCCAAAGAACCUCCUCCUCCCUCUGGUCUAAUCUCACAGCUCGCGCCGCGUAGAGAGAGGGAGAUGAAGAGGUACGACCCCCCUCCGACCUGCUCCAUGUGGGAAACUGGUCCAUUAUGUCGAUAAAACUUCAAGAUUGCCACUCUUCCGGUUCGGCCUUCGUUUCUCGCGAAUCGAAUCUGGGCCGGGUCAAAGUCAACAAUUGUAAGCCUUUUGGUCAACAAUUGAUUUGGUUUGGAUCACUUAACAACAGCACAGUUGCUAAUUGUGUAGAUUGGUAUAUUAUUUAUGGUUUUAAUUGCUGUCAUUGUUAUGAUUGAUUUGAAUUUUCAGUCUUAGAUGGGAUGACAUUUCACCAUUAGAUUAUUAUAAUAAAUAUAUAAUUAAUUAAAUUUGAUUAAGAUAAAUAGAUUUAUUAUCUCGAGCUCUAAUACAAUAGGAAUGAUAUCAUAAUCUCUCUUAUCAUAGUCAAUAUGAACAAUAUGAGUUAUGAGAAUUAUCCUUUUGAAAUAGGCUCCGGCACUAAAUAAAUUAGUUUCGUGACUCUAUUUAAUUUUUCAGUUUCAUAAAAUUAAAUAUAAUUUAUCGAAUAUAUCGAAAAUAUAAGAAGUAUUUUGGAACAUAUUAAAGAAUAAAUAUGAAACAAAAACUUAAGCAUUGCAUUCAUUUCAUUCUUAUCCAAAAAGCAUACAUAGAAACAUAUAACCAAAGCUUUGGAUAUCAUAUCAAACACAUAAAAUAUGAAAUUAGAUCAUAAUAUAAUAUGGUCCAUUUAUUUCCACAAAACAUAAAUCUUUCAUGUUUGGGAGCUCCAUCCACCCACGUCUGAGUGAAGUCAUAAGCGACCAACAGAACAUCGCGGGCUCUAAGUAUAACUUCUUUUAUCAUUUCUAACAAAGUUUUACAUUUAUCCUACAAAUCCUAUAGUAUAAAAGGGUAUUGUGAACAUUAAUGAAUCUUAUGUUUGCACUGUUAAACAAAGACCUAAGGGUCUGAUUCAGUCCAUCUCUUAUUCAGUCCACUAAGAGCCCAAGUCCAGCUCUGAUUCAGUCCAUCAGUACAUCUAAUUUUAUUUCAUGAUCCUGAAGAGAACUCAAGAGGAAGCAGAUCUUCUACUCAACAAGAGGAUGGAAGCCAAUUAGUCUGAAAGGUGGCUUCACACUAUCUGAACAAUGCCCAUGAAAGGGAGUUGCAUCUAACACUCCUUUGGAAGUCACAGAGGUUGCCCACCAAAGCUUCAUUCUUCACUGAUCAUAAACAACCUCUUUCACACAUGAACCUGGAUAUGCAGAGCAGCAACCUCUUCUCAUCCAGCUUCUUCCACUUCACCCUGCUAGACUCCAAACCACAAACAAGUUCAAAGAAAAAGUCUCUCAGAUUCAUGCACCUCCCCUGAGGAGGUGGACAUGCAACCAAAGCACCCAAGUAGAUCAAUGGCCACUGUAGAAGUGCACGUUUCCUUCAUCCAUUUCCUCUUCCUCUGUCAUAUUUCUCACGUUCUUGCCCAACUCCCACUCGGUGGCUUUUCUGCAAAAAUCGUUUUAUAACACCAAGUUGUCUUAUACUAUGGAGGGUGACUCCUUAUAGAUCACACUCGGGAGUAUUUUUGCAUGCCACAGGGAGUGGGUGGAUGCACUGAACCUGAAUUAUCCUGAGAAAAAGCUUGGUUGAUGAUGAGGGCUACUCUUCCUAUUGCUUUCAGUUGGAAGAUCAAGUCCAAAAGAGAAUAUUUGCUUUGGUCCAGCGAAGUAUGUGCAAGUAUUUAUCUUGAAGGAUUGCUAGACAACUGCAAGUAUCUGUUCUAGAAUGGGGAUAUAAGAGGAACAGGUCUUCACUGCAUGAUUGGUAGAUGGUUUUGAUUCUAGCAAUUGUUAGAAUGCCAGUUUACUUCUGUUAAGGCAAUCAGUAAGCAAGGAAAAAGGAUGUGUUUCAUUUACUCACUUGUAUUAACAUAAGAGACCAAGAUAAGUCCAUCUACUUGGUUUUUUUGUGGAGGUUCUCUCAAUAGAUCAAUCAAUGAUAGAAUCCCCAUACGCCACCACCAGUGGAGUUCAAGGGUUGUGUGGAGUAUGUAGGUUGCAGUCCUCCUUUAUUAAAGCUGGGCAUUCUGAUGGCUGCUGGUGUAAUCCCCCAUGACAAAUUGAACCUGCAGCAGUUUUGAUUGAUAGCUCAGUGUUGCAUAGCUCACUAAACAUAGUGCUUUAAACCCUAGCAGAUGCAGUCUUGCAACUAAAGGAAUUAAAGCUGGUCGGUCAUUCAUCAGCUACCCAAGACUGAUGAACAACGAAGACCUGUUUGUUUCAGGUGGUAAAUCUCACUUCAGAGUUUUUGAAGUGCUUGAAUCAUCUCUUUUUGCUAAGUGGUAAAUCAAGUGAAGAGAAUUUGCUUCUAUGACUAUGAAUCCUGUGAUAAGUCAUAUCUCCUCGUUAUCAGCAGAAUUUUAUGAACUGAUGAUUCAACAUACACAAAGAAGAGAGACAACAACUAAAAGAUGAUCUUUCUUUGAUGGGGCACAAAAGGCUACAAGACAAAAGAAGCUAUAAUAAACCCAAUCAGCUGCCUCCAUGUAUGACUGGCUUAAUUCCCUCCUUGUUCCCACAAGUUUUGAGCUAUGAUUCCAGAAGGUCCAAGCGCCAACUUCACCUUCACCUUCGCCAAUCACCAUCAUUAGGGGGGUGGGGAGGUCAGUGGGCCACAGAUUGUGAGGUGGUGGCAAUAAAGAUGAGCAUGGAAACAUGUCCUUGUUCUCUGCAUCUGGUACACAUAUAAUAGUGAGGGGGAUGUAUGCUGCCUAACAUUGAACCUUUGUGUUCAAAGAACCACCUGCUCCAAAAAGAGACAUGCAAAGGACAUCAGAUCACUGGGACCACCUCAUCUGCAGCCCCUCGUUGCCUUGUUAUCAUGCUACUCAAGGAACCAACAGUUAUGUGGCUUGGCUCAAACAUGGUGGCAAGUCUAGCUACUCUCUUUUAAGCUAGAGGUGCACUAAUAAUGAGGCUACACCAACUGUAAUCUGUACCAUCUUUCUCUUAUUAGACUGCGUACGAAGUUUGAUUCAAUGAACUGGGUUUAUCUGCAGAUAAUGGGGUCAUCAUCUCAAGUAUGAUCUCAGAUUACCCAACAGGGACAUCAUCAUCAGACAUGAUUAGUUCGAAGACCUUCAUUCUGUGCUAGAUUCUCCCAGGCAGUAACUGGGGCUGCUUAUAAUUUAGCUACUCCAGAUUAAAUCAUGGGUUAUGCAGAUGAAAACUAGAUGAUGCAUCACCUUGAUGGUCUAAAAGAGCAGUCCAAAUUAUCUUUCACCCUAAGGAUAAAUAAAGUAGACCUCUGUAAUCUGAUCCUGUCAUUGUUGGCUUACAAAAACCACAGAUAACAUCAGUAGAAAUUGCCAAGGGAGACUUUUUGACUGUGAAAUUUCAGGAAAACCAAAGUAAAAGAGGUCAAGAAUGUCAAAGGGCCGCUGGACCAGCUUUUCUGGGAAUAUUUUCGCUCUUCCUACCUCCUGAAUUCAAGGGGAUCUGUAUGUGGACGACUUCUUCCAAAAGCAUCUCAUGUCCAUUGCAAGAAUUGACAGAUCGGAACAAGUACUACUGGCAUCCAAGGUUUGUUUCCAUCCCACCAAUCUAGAGAUACUGACGCUGGACACUUGUCCUCAGCAGCAGUGAAAGAUUUGGGCUAUAGUUCACAAGAAGAAAGCUAAAUCCACACUUCAGCUCUCCAGAUUGCAGAUCUCCUUCCCUCUGUGUUUUAUUUCCUUCCUCCUCAUGUGAACUUGAAGGAACAAGAAUCUUCUUUCACUUUUAUACACUGUAGUUUGUACAUGUGGUCGAUCCAGCAACUCCCAGCUUAGGUGUUCCUGAUUCAUCACUUUGUGAAUGCAAUGAGAGGGCCACCUGCCUGAGUUGUCACCCCACAGCCAUGGAACACUGAACCGGGAUACAAAGCUCUCUAUUUGUCCUGCUCCCAUAGAGAGAGAGAAAGAGAGAGAGAGCGCGACUGGUAGCUCCAUAUCCAAGAAGAUGGCAUGCAAAUCUUCCAACUUAAACUGUCAUAACAGUGACGGCACCUACUCGAGAUAAGGAGCCCCCUCCGACCCCUUCCCGGUGACGUCACCAUGCCCAUCUCACGGGUGCUGUGAAUGACCGCGCCGCCGGGCGUGACCGACACACGUGUCUCUUUUAGCCAAUACCUCGGGUGGCCCCCACCACGAAUCUUUUCGGCCAGCUCAUACCUUGAACGUGGCCCCCAGUCAAUCUAUCCAUCUAGUUCUAAGUAUAAAAGGGUGCGGGUCGGAGGCGUCGAAUUGGCAUAGCUCGAGAAGAAGCAAGGAGGUGGGCGAAACCCUGCGCUCUGCCUCGUUCCUCCCUUUCCUCCCUAUGGACUACUACCUCUUCGACUCCCUGAACCACGAACACUCGCCGGAAUCCUCCACCGGUUCCACCGAGCCCUUUCCAUGGGCCGGCGUUGGGCUGUUCUACCCGGACGUUCCUCUCCCUUUCAACAUGGAUGACUCCGAGGAGAUGCUGCUGCUCGGAAUGCUCGCGGAGGCCUCCGGAAAGGCGUCGUCCUCGUCGGAGGCCUGCGACCGGAGCGUGAUCCGGGCCAAGGAAGAAGAGGUGGAUUCGCGGAGCAAGGCGGCGGAUGAGCCGAAGGAGAAGUCGUACCGGGGGGUGCGGAAGCGGCCGUGGGGGAAGUUCGCGGCGGAGAUCAGGGACUCGACGCGGCACGGGAUACGGGUGUGGCUGGGGACGUUCGACAGCGCGGAGGCCGCCGCCCUGGCGUACGACCAGGCCGCCUUCUCGAUGAGGGGGUCGAUGGCGGUGCUCAAUUUCCCGGUGGAGCGGGUGCGGGAGUCGUUGAACGGCAUCAAGUGCUGGAAGGAGGAGGAGAAGGUGUCGCCGGCGGUGGCGCUGAAGAGGAGGCACUCCAUGAGGAGGAAGUGGAUGAACAAGAAAGCAAAGGAGAGUGAGACGAGCAGCAGCAGCAGCAGCAGCGUGGAGAGCGUGCUGGAGCUGGAGGACUUGGGAACAGAGUAUUUGGAGGAGCUUCUGAGAACAUCAGAAGUAGCCAACACUUGCUGACUUCUUCCAAUCCUUCUCCACCGCCAGUCUCCCCUGUUCCUCCUUUUUUCCUAAGGGAAACCCCUCACUUGUUCCUUGUAUUCCUUUCUUGGUUUGUUCUUUCAGUUGUCCAAGUCAGGAUGAUCUUUUUUACUUGGCUGUGCUUGGCAUGUGCCAUACCAAGAUAUCUCGAUAUCUUAUUUCCCUGCUGCAAAUCAAUAUAGCUUUUGAUCCUGUAAAACUGAUAUUUUUGUACAGGUCAAACACUAAUCUUCAAGCAAUAAUUCUCUGCACUUCCAAAUCUGGCCCAACAUGUCAAUGACAACUACUAUUACUUCUGCUACCCUUCUCUCCAUUGAAAUAUGUAUUUUGUUAAACAAAGAGACUGAUACAACAACAAGAAAAAGACAGAUCACCAGGCAAUGGACUGACAUCCAACACUUUGGAUGCUGAAUCAACAGAACUAUGCACCAACUGUAAGAGGACAUAUUUAUGUGCCAUGACUGAUGAGGUUUCAAAGCCUCGGGCAGGCGGGAAUUCACUCUCUCCUCAGCAGCUGCCUCCCAGUUCUUCUCAAGAAGAAUUCACCUGUAAUACAAAAGAGUUCUAUCAUUGAAAGAUCAUGUCCCAAGUUGCAGAAAUGCUUCACUACAAGCUAAUCUGAAUAACUUGUUAUAAAUGCAUGUCUCCUGCUCAUAAUGAUAUUUAGGCUUGCCUAACUUGGUGUAUAUGCAUGGCUUAAUGUGUCUUACAUCUGCAGUUAUAUAAUAUAUUGGUUCUUCAUGAGAUUAUGUCUGAAGCAGAAACAGAACAAGAUAAACACAGAUGAAUUCACAAAGAUCUCAUGGAUUAUGGAUUUUUAAGAGCUUUAAUAUCUAGUCGUCAAAGUUUUCUGUAAGACCUAAAUGCCUGUGUUAAAUACUACUCGGUGGAUGAAGUUUGACUUAAGUAACACAAUAAUUCCGAAGUGCUAUAGCAUAGGAGUAGAAUUCCAAGUUGCCAUCAUUCUAUCCAAGACAAUGUUGACUCCUCCAAGUAAUACGGAGAAAAUGAUGCAAUAGUUUUAGUUUUAUCAUGGUAAAGUAACAUGAUCUAUUUAUGCCACGUACUUGCCCUUAGGUAAGAAGUUCUCACAUUAUGGUGAUUGAUAGGUACCUGGCAAUGGCACCCAUCACAUUGAUCAUGUAUCGUCAACAAUAAGUGUUAUUGGUCAAAGCUAGUUACAGUCAUGAUAAACUCUCUGCAAGCUUCAUAUAAGAUCGCCUUUUUGGUCAAGGAUUUCAUGUAUCAUUUUGGUGUUCAAGUGAAUCAAGCAAAUUACAUCACUGCCUAAAAACUCAGUACAAAUACCAGGAUGGUUUUUUUCCUUUUGAGGAAGCUAAAUCAUCAUCUAGAUAAUUUUUUUACCAUAAACAGAACAUUUAUCUUACCAUGGAGAAAAUUUUGCACCUUUUCUCUUUAGUUUUUGGCUUAUUACAACUGAAGUAGGAGACUGGUUGUCAAAUUUGAAAUGAUCUCUUAUGCAGUUCUUUCAAAUGUGAGAAUCCUAGUUUCCUACUCAAAAAGUUUGAGCAGCCAUGGUGCAAGAACUAGUGUCGUCUUUUGUAAUAUCUUCAAUGCCUCACAUAGCAUCUUGGAAACUUCUACAAGCAAAGAUAAGCCUCAUCAUAUGAUAGUAGGCGGCAAGAUAUUCAAUUUGACGUCUCUUCCUUGGUCAUGCACAAAAACACAAGAACUUCGAAUGGAAUUUGCGAGAUGAUGCAAGAAUCUUGGUGUCACUCGCAACAACAACCACAGGAUUCAAAUGCACCAAGAGUCAGAUGAAAGCUCACGCUUAUUUCUGACCAUGCAUAACCCAACAUGCCAUUAAGACACAACCACAUUUUAAACAUGCUGAAGGAAGAUAUCAAUUCCCAAAUUGUUGUAGAAACAGGACCAUUAUCUAUAAUUGUGUCAUUUUCUGAGGGUGUUUCCUUCACACGAAGCUUCCUUUGGUCUUGGAAAGUUGAUAACAUGAUUGUGCAGCAGAAAGCUUCUCUCAAAAGAUUUUGGCCAGGAUGACUAUUCAGCAACAUCAUAGUCUCACUCAGACAUUGACUCAAGACAUUUUCUCUACCUUUGGUUUUUUUUUUCUAGCAAAUAAGGGACAUCUUUGAUAACCAUUAUUCAAUUAACGCAUCUCCAUCUCUCAGGAUCUCUAAAGAUUAAUAUAAGAAUAUCCGUCCGUUGUCUUUUGACUAUGCUUUUCAACCUUUAGGCCCCAACGUUUCAGCUUGAACGACACUUGUGGGGAAGCCCUACCAUUUGAAGAUCUAAUUCUCAUGAACUUUUGUUACUCAAGUUGACAUUCUUGAAUUUGCUUUUUCAAAUACUAGCUUGUGUUGGUGUCUCACUCUAAGAUGGAACAUUCACGUACACAUGUAUUUUUCCAUGGCAUAAUUUCAGCAGAUCAUUUAGCCCAGUUCAUUUUAACAUAAAAGUAAAAAGGUAAUUAUUAUUUGAACAAAUGCCUGAUUGUUUCUACAUCCUUAAGUCCGUGAUUGAGUGGUCAUCUAAGGUGCCUUAUCAAAACUAAUUGAACUCUUGCUGAAUCAAUUUUGGUUACUGAAAUCAGCAUUCUUGCAUCUGUUUGUCCAAGCCAGUUGUGGAUGUGCCUUGCUCGAUGGUGGAAAACUUGCCUUCCAAUGUAUUUAUUCCAUUCUAUAAUUUUAACAGAUCAGUGUAGUACCAUUCAUGUUGGACAUAAUAGUCCAAAAGUAACUAGUUCUAGACAAACUCAUGACUGAUUCUGCAUCCCUGCAUCCAUCACUGAGUGGGUAGUUCGAAGUGUCUUGAUGACGACCACAUUAUUUGAUAUUUCAGUCCAUUAUUUUAAAAUUUGUGCCUUUGCAUUGGUGCUUCUUACAUGAAUUAUCCUUUGGGCUUAACUAUUAUAGUUUCGAGCAUGAAGUGUAGGCAAAACUUCAAAUAAGUUUUAAUUUUCUCAAGGCCUUUCAAAUACCCCUAAUGUUAUAACUCUUAUUGAGAAACAAGAAAAAUACCAAGUUGUCUUGCUGAACCAGAAAGCAGCAUUUUAUUUUCCAGGAGAUCAAAUAAUUUUUUAGGAGAUCUUCAUUUCUUUCUUCUUCUUUCGCAAAGGUAGUACGAAUCAAGUGCAAUGAUUUUUUUUUCCUGCCUUGAAAAGCGACAUAUGAGUUCAAUAACUUGGUAUUGUAGUAUCCAUGAACCCUGUAACUAAUUAUGAUUUGUUCUCAUUGUAGUACUGAUUUUUUCUCUCUCUUUUCUUUUUCUUUGUUGUUCUCCAGGACAUCACUUUUGGACUUAACUACAGUAUUGUAAUUCAUAUCAAAAUUAGAAAUAACAACUUAAAACUAAAACAAGUUGCAUUGAAAGCCACCACAUGUACCAAAAAGCUCUAGAAUUCAGAAUUCUAUAUGAUUUUUGAAAAACGUUAUGUAGAUACAUGGUGGUAAAAGGGGCUAAUUCCAGAUUACCCCUUGUAUUUGGACCCUAUUAAUAUCGCGGUCCUUGCACUUAAAAUUUAUAAUGAGAUCCUUAUAGUUCUAAAAGUGAAACAAAUGACCCCAUUUUCCUUAACGUCAUUGACUGCACUGACAGAAGAUAUUGCACGUGGAAUCAUGUGCUGGAUUGGCAAAAAAUCUAUAGGCAAAACGGUAAUUUCAAUGUCCCUUUCAUUUCCUUUUGUUUUGCCCAAAUUAAAAGGUAAUUUCAACAUAACGACCAAUACUACCGGACGUUGCCAUCUCUGUCUCCACCUACUCUGUUCUCUGUCCCAAUAAGCAAAAAAGAGGCUCAUUUCUCUUUAUAGGAUUCAAGCACAAGAGACAAUUUUGUGUAAUAACAUGACUCAGAAUGUUGUCUUCUCUUAAAAGCGAUUAUACUGAAACCACAUAAAUAAUCUCCAUAUAAACCCAAUAUAAUAACAUGUCAUGUAAUCUAUCACAACAAAACAUUUUCAAACCAUCCUCAUCAAGCAGAUAAGUUGUGGCUACUGUUCGGACAGGAAAGGAGAGCAUACUCUUGUUGGACAUUGUAGUGGCAGCAAUAGCGGUCACUGCAUGGCGAAUGAAGACACCGCGAGAGCUCACGAAAGGGACGGAACUGGAGGCGAGGACAAAGAUGGAAAGAGUCAUGAAGCAUGGGAGAAGAGGAGGGGAGAUGGAGGAGCGGAGGUAAGCUCCGGAAGGGGCUACGAGUGGACGGGGAGGCAAGCAGCAGAGGGUGACAGAGAGAUGUUGAAAUUACCUUUUUGCCCA